rnacentral:rRNA from 1 species
GAUGAACGCUGGCGGCGUGCCUAAUACAUGCAAGUAGAACGCUGAAGGAGGAGCUUGCUCUUCUGGAUGAGUUGCGAACGGGUGAGUAACGCGUAGGUAACCUGCCUGGUAGCGGGGGAUAACUAUUGGAAACGAUAGCUAAUACCGCAUGACAACAGUUAUUGCAUGAUAACUGUUUAAAAGGGGCAACUGCUCCACUACCAGAUGGACCUGCGUUGUAUUAGCUAGUUGGUGAGGUAACGGCUCACCAAGGCGACGAUACAUAGCCGACCUGAGAGGGUGGUCGGCCACAAUGGGACUGGGACACGGCCCAGACUCCUGCGGGAGGCAGCAGUAGGGAAUCUUCGGCAAUGGACGGAAGUCUGACCGAGCAACGCCGCGUGAGGGAAGAAGGUUUUCGGAUCGUAAAGCUCUGUUGCAAGAGAAGAACGAGUGUGAGAGUGGAAAGUUCACACUGUGACGGUAUCUUACCAGAAAGGGACGGCUAACUACGUG